rnacentral:lncRNA from 1 species
CAUUGAUCCUUAGUAUUCAUCUGAUCAUGGUGACAUGGACCGUGUCCUCCUGUCUGUGAAAAUCCAGCAAUUCUCUGCAGGACUGCAGGUAGUCCUCAAAGCAUCUGCAGAGCUUCCCAUGGCGUGUGCUGAGAGGUGUAUCUUUGUUUGAUUCUGUGAUUAACAUCGACUGCACAGGUUUGUCUGAUGUCCCGAGCGCUGCCCGGGUGUUCCAGCGGCACCAACAGAGGCUGACUGAUGGGCUCCAGUUCAGACAUACGAAGGGUGGCAAGCAGAGGCAGCGUUCUGAGACCGCAAGUCCCUCAGAACUGGAUGUCCUCAUCCCCAGGGCUGUCAGCCACACCGUGUCCUGUCCCUGCCGGCUGCACAGCAACAGUGGCGACACGGCUGCAUUGCUGGGGAGAUGGAAGCCCAACGUGUGUCAUCUCUGAGGCUGCUCGAGUUCCUCUUCAGCGCUUUGCAGGGGAAGACCAGAGAAAUAAUAAGGCUUUGUAUGAGUGAUAAGACUGUAUCGUGAUGGCUGUUCGCUUCCUAACAGAUGGGACAGAGAUGCAGGUAGGGUGGAGGGGCCACAAAGGCAACUGAUGGAGAAGUUUCUUUGGAGUCUGCUGUUCUUUUUUGCUUCAUUUAUAUUUCAUUAGGCAUGAAAUUACGUUUAUAAUUGUAUUAGACAACUGUGUGAGAUAUUAGAUCAUAAGCCUAGACUGAAUUAAAGCCAUUUUUAAUUAGUUAUUGAUUUAUUCUGUUUCGUCAUUUUUAAUGAAAUGAUGCCCCUGAAUUCAAAGCGCUGGUGCAGGUGUGUUAUCUUAAUUCAUAGAACUAGCACUCUGCUUACCUCCCAACC